rnacentral:tRNA from 1 species
GCCGAGCUAAUCCAACUGGUAGAGAUACAUGCCUUAGAAGCAUGUCAGUGUGAGUUCGAAUCUCACGUUCGGCACCA